CAAUGGUAUAGCUAGGGUUCCGACUUUGAAAAAAGUGUCUGGUCCGAGAGCUAUCGACCUCACCUGACAUUCUCAGUGAAGGUUACACGGAGGGAUAAAAGCCCGGGAGAA
rnacentral:sRNA from 2 species